CCUACGGGAGGCAGCAGUGAGGAAUAUUGGUCAAUGGACGAGAGUCUGAACCAGCCAAGUAGCGUGAAGGAUGACUGCCCUAUGGGUUGUAAACUUCUUUUAUCUGGGAAUAAAAUGUUCCACGUGUGGGAUUUUGUAUGUACCAUAUAAAUAAGGAUCGGCUAACUCCGUGCCAGCAGCCGCGGUAAUACGGAGGAUCCGAGCGUUGUCCGGAUUUUUUGGGUUUAAAGGGAGCGUAGGUGGAUUGUUAAGUCAGUUGUGAAAGUUUGCGGCUCAACCGUAAAAUUGCAGUUGAAACUGGCAGUCUUGAGUACAGUAGAGGUGGGCGGAAUUCGUGGUGUAGCGGUGAAAUGCUUAGAUAUCACGAAGAACUCCGAUUGCGAAGGCAGCUCACUGGACUGCAACUGACACUGAGGCUCGAAAGUGUGGGUAUCAAACAGGAUUAGAUACCCCUGUAGUC
rnacentral:rRNA from 1 species